rnacentral:tRNA from 1 species
GGGGUUGUGGCUCAGAGGUAGAGCGCUUGCCUAGCAUGCAUGGGGCACUGGGUUCAAUUCUCAGCACCACA